rnacentral:rRNA from 1 species
ACGAGUUUGAUCAGUGGCUACGAGGACGAACGCUGGCGGCACGCCUAACACAUGCAAGUCGAACGGAGAUGAGAACUUCGGUUCUUUGAUCAGUGGCGGACGGGUGAGUAACGCGUGAGUAACCUGCCUUACAGAGGGGGACAACAGUUGGAAACGACUGCUAAUACCGCAUAAUAUACCGACAGGGCAUCCUGAUGGUAUCAAAGGAGUAAUCCGCUGUAAGAUGGACUCGCGUCCAAUUAGAUAGUUGGUGGGGUAACGGCCCACCAAGUCGACGAUUGGUAGCCGGACUGAGAGGUUGAACGGCCACAUUGGGACUGAGACACGGCCCAGACUCCUACGGGAGGCAGCAGUGGGGGAUAUUGCACAAUGGGGGAAACCCUGAUGCAGCAACGCCGCGUGAGGGAAGAAGGUUUUCGGAUUGUAAACCUCUGUUUUUAGUGAAGAAACAAAUGACGGUAGCUAAAGAGGAAGCCACGGCUAACUACGUG